UUUGGGUUUUCAGGUGCAGGAUGAAGUCCUUAAAUUAUACAAAGCUUAAAGGAAAAGGCAGGAACCCUUUUGUAAUGCUUUGGGACUACCCAACACAAUGUUGUAUUUCAGUAAGGAGAAAAACCCUGUGAGCUGCACCCCAAUAGGAGAUGAGGUGCCAAUAUAUGCUUGGGUAAGCUGUGACAGAUGUCCUCAGUGACUGAAGCUAGAAUGUUAACUGCUGUAUGUGCUCAGAUUCUUGCACCAUUUCUGUCCAUGGAGUAUUAGCAAAAACACAAGCUGCAGAGCCAUAAACACUGUUCCUAGUGAUUUUCAUGCAAUCAAGUAAUAGACACCUAUAGAACUUUCCAGGAUCAACAAGUAAUGUUGAAAGAUUCAAAAUGAAAAACUUUUGAAUAGGAGCAAAUAAAAGUAUAAGAUUUUCUAUUACUACUAAAGAAAUUUAAGGUUUUGGUAAUCAAGGAGAAAACUUUAACAAAUUGGUACAGUGAUAUAGGUGAGCUAUAAUAAACAACAGCAGUUUGAAACUGCAGUAGGGAGAUCCAGCCUGAUCCCUUGGUUGUAACAGAGGAAGAUAUAAAAUGUCCUUUUGCUUUUACUAACAGUAUUUAAAAGAAUCACGAAUGAUCCUGUCAAAAUUGUGGCAAAGGAGUCAAAGUUCUGAGGUUUCUGGGAUUCACUGCAGAAGCAUAAUUCAUUUUUUUUUCUGGAUUUAAAUACCAGAACAUCACCAAACACAUACAUAUGCAAAUAAGCAGAGUGACAUUCUAAC